AUACGGAGGGUGCGAGCGUUGUUCGGAAUUAUUGGGCGUAAAGAGCAUGUAGGCGGUCUGUUAAGUCUGGUGUGAAAGCCCGGGGCUCAACCCCGGAAGUGCAUUGGAUACUGGCAGACUUGAGUAUGGGAGAGGAAAGCGGAAUUCCGAGUGUAGGAGUGAAAUCCGUAGAUAUUCGGAGGAACACCAGUGGCGAAGGCGGCUUUCUGGACCAAUACUGACGCUGAGAUGCGAAAGCGUGGGGAGCGAACAGGAUUAGAAACCCCUGUAGUCC
rnacentral:rRNA from 1 species